rnacentral:rRNA from 1 species
UACGUAGGUGGCAAGCGUUGUCCGGAAUUAUUGGGCGUAAAGCGCGCGCAGGCGGUCCUUUAAGUCUGAUGUGAAAGCCCCACGGCUCAACCGUGGAGGGUCAUUGGAAACUGGGGGACUUGAGUGCAGAAGAGGAAAGCGGAAUUCCACGUGUAGCGGUGAAAUGCGUAGAGAUGUGGAGGAACACCAGUGGCGAAGGCGGCUUUCUGGUCUGUAACUGACGCUGAGGCGCGAAAGCGUGGGGAGCAAACAGG